rnacentral:rRNA from 1 species
UACGUAGGGUGCGAGCGUUAAUCGGAAUUACUGGGCGUAAAGCGUGCGCAGGCGGUUCGUUGUGUCGGUGGUGAAAGCCCCGGGCUCAACCUGGGAAUGGCCAUGGAAACUGGCGAACUGGAGUGUGGCAGAGGGGGGUGGAAUUCCGCGUGUAGCAGUGAAAUGCGUAGAGAUGCGGAGGAACACCGAUGGCGAAGGCAGCCCCCUGGGCUAGCACCGACGCUCAGGCACGAAAGCGUGGGGAGCAAACAGG